ensembl:lncRNA
CCUCCCUCGCCCCCAACACUCACCCCCUUGACCAUCUUGCACCCCCUCUUUCAUCGCUUUCUUUACUUCUCUCCUGUCUCUCCCUCCUCCCUAGUGUUGAUGCCAUUUUCUCGCUCCCCGGCUGUCUCCUCUCGCUCAUCAGCGUCAACACUCUAAAAAUAAAGAUGGAGCUGUGGAAAGACAAUCUUUUUUUUUCUUCUUUUUUUUCUGGAGGUGGUUUCUAGAGAUUCUUGCAUAUACUGUAUGUACACAGAGACAAGGCAACGCUUAACCUGCUAUAACGGGAAGUGCUAACAGCUUCUCAAAGAAAAAAAGAAGUGAUAAUUACAAAAGUGAAUGCCAAGUAAGCGAUUCAAACGGAAACAGCUUGACCUGUACAAUAUAAAUUAAACAUUGCGAUAACACAUAAAAUGAGAGUUUUUAAUGGUCUUAGUGGAAAAUCACAUUGAGGCAAAACUGUUCUGAAAUCUUUGUUUUAAUAUUCUUAGUGGCACAUCCCAUAUUGGGUCACUUUUUAAGGGUAAAAGCAGUCAAUCUAUCCUUCUAAGGGCCAGUGACAUUUACGCUCUUCUGCUGUUAUUUCAUUCCCUCCUUUGCCACCUGAACGCGCUGACACCGUUUGUUAUUGGUGUCUUUUUUUAGUUAUUGAUUUCAUGGUUUUUAUCAAAUCAAGGGUCCAGGUUGGGAAGAAAAAAAAUCUAUAUGCAGCAGUGAUGUCAUUUGUUUGACAUUUUCAUCCCUUGGAGUGAUGAAUGGUGGAGUAGGAAAGCAAAUGACAAAGGCUUUACAAACAGUGUCCUCGUGUGAAAUAUGUGUUGUGUUUGCAGGGAGGUCAGACCUCAGUGUUCUUGGUCUCAAUUCAAUCCAGAACCCAAAAUGGACAAAUCCCCUGAAAGUUGUAUGGUGAGAAUAUGAUGCGUCCCAGUCAGUACGAUCUGCUGAUGGCAGAACACUAUUAUGAUAAAUACUGUAUCCGGCUGAAGAAAACCACUUCCAGGGGUUCCACCUACAAAACAAGUUGGUCCAAAAGUAAAGUUGGUUUACGCCCCCACCCAAUACAGAGAUGGAGAGAGAAAAAGAAGACAAAAGAGAGAGAGAGUCACACAGCGCUGCUUUUCUGAGAAUAGAAGAACAAAUAUUUUCUGAUGGUUUCAUGGCGGUAACGUUCUUAAGCACAAAUAAAUAUCAUACCCUCAGCAGAACAAACACUCCUCUUCUUAGUUUUUCCUUCAGCAUUCCAAUGAUUACAUGGAGCGCACUCUACUAAAGCAGUGAACCUACAUGCUGCUCAUUGUUCAUAGUGCAUUUGAAGGAGUCAUUUUCCGCUUACAUCGUGACGUGAACACACAUAUUUGGCUUGAUGGCCCGAUGUACCUGCGAGGAUGGAGGGUCAUGGAGAUGUUGUACUUAUCAGUGGAGUCAGAUGGUGUUGUCACUGGCUGGAAUGUAAAUCUGCUGAUUCUUGGCUUUCGCGCGGUUGCCCGUUCCUGGCUCGGAUAGAACCGCUUGUGCCUGAAACUGGAUGGAGCUUUGGUGACGGAUUGAGAUGGAUCAAUGAGCAGGAUGCCGGACUAUUUAUCAUGCCUCCACUUGACAUAUCUCCAGUUACUCUGCUGCAUAUUUCUCUCUUCAUCAUCAUUAAACUUCAGUUGCAAACUUAUGGCAUCACAAGUUGGAUAUCUAAUUUAUCACUGGGCACAUAGUCUGUAGACAAACCCAAAUAACUGACGCACCAGGUGGGCCUGCAAUGCAAAUUUGCCUGUUUUGUUCUAUUCCUCAUAACAGACAUGGGGUUUGCCUAUAUGGAGAAGCACACAAGCCCUAAAUUGGUUUCGGGGUUUGUUUAGGCGGCCGUUGUUUGUUCUUCACACCUGUCGGCUGUAACUGCCAGUGAAAUCACUGCGCCCCAAAUCUCUAAAUCUCUGAACCACAGAGAUCAAUGCACACCAGGGAGGACAAACAGAGAGCGGCGGCGAUGAAAGAGAGAUGCGGAAGACAAGCAAUGGAGAGGCAAAAGGGGAGCGAGAGGUGCAACAUGGAGGGAGUUCACUGCCGUGACAGCUGAGCUUCAUAUCGGCGGAGUUUGUUUUGCUUGAUUUGUUGGAGCAUGUGGGGAGGGGAUCCAGAUUGUCGGUGGCACUCGCAAUAACACUUUUUUUUUAAAAUGGAAGUGACAUUUUGUAGAAACUCUGCAUGUGGUAGGGACGGAUUUUAUUGUAUGAGUUGCGUUUGGGGGACGUCUUUUAGAUGUGAAUUUGGUCAAACGCUUGGGUGGUGAAGUUGGUAUCCGCUGCAGAGGUCGGGUCGUAGCCCCUCGGGACGGGUUCGUUCCGGCCAACACAUGUGGCUUUGUUAACGGGAGGGACACACGUUCCUAACCUUUUCUUUGUCGCACCGCUCAAUGGGGACUGGACCUCGAGCAAUAGGGUGACGCACACAAAUGACAAAUUAUAAAAGAAAAGUAGAAGACAUUUUCAAAUUCAUGAAUAUAUUAUGAUCUUAUAUUGUGUUAACUUUGCAGGUGGGGCAAUUGUUUUGAUAAUCGAUUCAAAUUUAAUGUAUUCUAAUGAUUUCUUUUAGGCUAGAAGCUGUGAACAUGACACAUAUUCAACUGAGAAGUUGACAUGGAAAGUAAACUUUUGUCUUUUUUACACAGUAACUGAGCAACAUUAGCUUGAUUUUAUCAUUCAUCUAAUUAAUAUAAGCCCCAUAUUCAUACUCCUUUUUACCUUUUUUUGUGUCCACCAGCUCCAUAAAGUAAUAUCUGCCGCUUUAGCUGCUAAAUACCCCACUGGGUUCACAUUCUCUCUGCUCAACUGCACCACACCGCUGAAAGAUAUUGUUUAUUUAUUAAUAAUUUAAUCAAACCAUUAAAUAGAACCUAAUUUGACUGCAUAUUUAAAGCUUGCUUAAUGUACGAUGGUGACAAAUUUAAAUAAAAGUGUAGAAUGAUUUAACAAGUGGUGAUAUACAAAGAUAUCACCUUCAAAAUAAUGGCCAAUCCUCCUAAAAUAAUCCUGCCGUGGUAAAGAAGAGUUCUGGGAGCUGCGAUCGGACUGUGAUGAAAGAAGACGGUUUUUGAACCACAAUAAGCGAGCGGAUACAAGCACGAGGUCUGAACAGGAAACCACAUCCUCACCUUGUCCAGGCAUCAGCCCCAUCCAAACAAACCUCAAACGCUUUUAAUCACUUUGUUGUUCUCCCUGGUUACAAAGAGAUGUGGAGACACAACAAAUGUGUCUCCAAAUGUUUCAGCAGUGCUCAAGGGAAAACCUCAAAACAUGGUGGAGUAAAAAAAAAAUAUAUAUAUAGAUUCAAGGAUUUUAUUUAUUUAGUUUUUUCAAGAGAUUUGAGUUUGAGAGGUCAAGGGAAACACAACAACAUCAAAAACACAGAAGCGAACACAGUCAAAGGCUCAUCUCUGGUUGGUCUUGUGUCUCUGAUUGCUUCCCCUGUGUUGCUCCUGGCCGAGGCUUAUCAAAGAGCUCCUUUCAUAAGUGCCAGGAUCGAGCCACUGCUGUGACUGCUUGGCACCCACUGAGGUGGCUCAGAUACUUGGGGGGGCAAGGAAAGGAAAAAUUGAGGACGGAGAGUGAAGGGAAGAUGGUGCUUUUAAAGGAAAGUGGGGAAGUGGCUGAGAUCGGAGGGGAGUUUGGCAUCUUUUGCGAUAUGGGUGUGUGUGUUCUUGUUGGAGAGACAACGCAGGGGAGGGGCACGUGUGAUACGGGGAGGAGUUGUGUUUUUAUGUGUGUGCUGAGAAAAUGAAUAUGUAUUUGCUUUAAACCCCCCCCCCCGGUGAUUUCUUGCUGACGCGCUCCAUAAUGCACGGCAUAUCAAGGUGAGUGCAGCAGAAACGGUGAGGGGAAAGAGCAACACAAACAGAGAAUACCCCGAGGCCAUGUGCUCCUCCUCCCCACAGCAGCCAUGGCUCCAUGGAGCCCGUCCAACUCCCGACUUCGCCGACCAGACCUCAUUCACGCAAAGGGGGAAGUCCAUGGGUGGUUUUGUUCGCCCAGGGACUGAAGACGAGAGCCUGUCGAACCCUCAGCUGGAGUCCAGGGAAGACUCUGUGCGGCCCGCUCUUAGUCCCAGCAUGCAGCAGAGAAACCACAGAGACAUCUCGUGUCCUCGGGGAAAGGGAUCAAGCUUCUAUAGAAUAGAAAAUUCCCCCAAAGGGCAGAUUUAAAAGGGGGGGGGGGGUUGAAUCUCUGUGUCUAUGCAAUUAUCACACAUACAAACCAACUUGCAUCUUGUGUUUGACAAAGCUCGUCUAAGAUAAGGUGUUAUUAUUAUUAAUUUGUCACCACUUUGAUCGUAAUGAACUCAAAGAAAUUGUUGGACGCUUUUACACUUAGUCUUUUAAUUAAUUGUAUUGCUGACAGACAGUUACAUGUGUGUUUAGUCUGCUUAAAAGUCGUGGUAAAAAUAACAAUUAUCUAUUUCAGAGGGGAUUUAGCCAUUUCUUGACAAGGACCAGUUGCCUUGCAAUGACGUGUGUAAAAACUGAACGACUUCAUCGUAAACAUCCCCUAUUUGGUUGUGGGCUGACGUUGUUUUUUUUUGCCCUCUACUGAACGGCAGAUACGAGUGUAAAGGUGUGUUACAAUCGGGGACAUGCGGCAGGUAAGUGGUCGCAGCGGCGACCUGUCGAUCAAAAGGUGGCCGCGCCCAAAAGCAUCUACAGAUACAGACGGUUACCUUCGUACAAGAAGCAGUUUUGCCUUAUUUUGUGCUUUUAAGUUAAGUUAGCUGAUGUCUGAUUCUUCUGAUCAAUUUUCUCAUCCUUUUUCUACAAAAUAUUACAUAGAUGCAUUUUCUUAUGUGAUGUGAUAUUGUGACCAGUAGUCUCAAUUUGUUGUUUAUUUAUCCUGAUUCUAUUGAGUAAUUUGGUCAAAAUAUUUAUUUAGUCAUAUAAUUUGAGCUUCCCCACAAGUCCAAGUUUACAAUAGAUAGAGAUGCACCUUAUCAUCCCAAAGGUAUUUAUUUCUCAUGGGCACAUACAUUCCAUCACUUUACAUACAAUUAUUAUUUCAUUCCCAUAACUUGGGCAGAAUAAUGAAUAAAUUGUUAUAAGGUAAUAAUUGCAUUCUUAUUUUAGCGCUGCAGCAACAUAAUUUCACAAAUACUCAAAAGGUCAAGGCUCCAUAUACGACCAAAAAAUGCAUAAUGAUAUCGCCACACAUUUCACUGUAAGCCCAAUGAGCCCGCAGGUGGAAAGUGGAGGUGUGUGUGUGUGUGUUGGUGCAGGAUGUGUGUCUGUGUGUGUGUUUUGGGGGUGGAAGCAAUAAAGCUGCUGGUAAAGCAUCUCCUCAUCAUAACGGAGGGAUUAAUACAGCGUGGGUAAAUGUUGACUCAAUCCACACAUCUAUCUAGUAAAUCAAAUAGGAAUAAAAAUUGUCUCAUAAAAACACUCAAAGGCAGCAUCCGCACAGCUUUAAGUCAUAUGAAGUAAGAAUGAACUUAUGUGUGGGAUGGAUCUUGAGGGAAUUUCUGAUGAACUCUGAUAAAGUUCUCGUCCCUGAAGCCGCCGUGUCACAGCGCAGGUCUGACUCCCAGCUCCGUUACACAUCCGAUGGCCAUCAGGGAGGAGCGCGUAGAGUACAAAGCAUCAUUAAUGUGAAAAUCAUUAAUAAGGGUCUGAGAGCAGAGAGAGCGCUUCCUGAAAUAAUGGGAAAUCCAUGAUUUAGUAAUGCUGUAUCUACACAUGUAUUAUUAAUCAUUUAAAAAUAAGUGUGGCAAACGUUGGGAGUAUGUAAACCAAAUUCACUUGUAACUAAUGAAUCCAUUUGAGCUUUCUCUGGA